rnacentral:lncRNA from 1 species
CUUGGCCCAGGGAGUGGCUCUAGUUUGUGGUGGUUUGUACUGUACAUGCUUGGCCCAGGGAGUGGCUCUAGUCUGUGGUGGUUUGUAUAUGCUUGGCCCGGGGAGUGGCUCUAGUCUGUGGUGGUUUGUAUAUGCUUGGCCCGGGGAGUGGCUCUAGUCUGUGGUGGUUUGUAUAUGCUUGGCCCAGGGAGUGAGUCUGUUAGGAGGCGUGGCCUUGUUGGAGUAGGUGUAACCUUGUUGGAGGAAGUGUGUCACUGUGGGCAUAGGCUUUGAGACCCUCAAAUGAAGAUGUAGAGCUCUCUGCUCCUCCUGGACCAUGCCUGCCUGGAUGCUGCUGUGCUCCCACGGUAAUAGACUGGCCAUGUUUAGUCUACUACUUUCUCUCCCUGCUCUGGAUUGUACCCUCCCCAGUAUCUACAAUAAAAACUUUGUCAACCAUACCUCAGAGUGGUCAUGUCCUCACUUGAUACUUUAGUUCUGAAACCCCCACUUUUAUACAGGACUAAGAGUUCAAAAAAUGAGUUAGCCA